rnacentral:rRNA from 1 species
UGAGUACGAGAUGCUACGGCAUCGAAGCAGUCUAUGUCAUACUUCCAAGAAAAGCUUGCACUGUCAGAAACAUAUAAUGCCUGUACCAUAACCGACACAGGUGGGUAGGUAGAGUAUACUAAGGGGCGCGAGAUAACUCUCUCUAAGGAACUCGGCAAAAUGACUCCGUAACUUCGGGAGAAGGAGUGCCUUAUUUUUAAGGUUGCAAUAACAAGAUCCAAGCAACUGUUUACCAAAAACACAGGUCUCCGCUAAGUCGUAAGACGAUGUAUGGGGGCUGACGCCUGCCCAGUGCCAGAAGGUUAAAGAAGUCGGUUAGCAUUCGCGAAGCUGGUAACUGAAGCCCUGGUGAACGGCGGCCGUAACGAUAACGGUCCUAAGGUAGCGAAAUUCCUUGUCGGGUAAGUUCCGACCCGCACGAAAGGCGUAAUGAUUUGGAUACUGUCUCGGAGAGGGGCUCGGUGAAAUAGACUUGUCUGUGAAGAUGCGGACUACCUGCACCUGGACAGAAAGACCCUAUGAAGCUUUACUGUAACUUGAAAUUGAAAUUGGACUUUAUUUGCGCAGUAUAGGUGGGAGGCGUUGAAAAUAUUCUUGCGGGAAUAUUGGAGCCAUCAGUGAGAUACCACUCUUGUAAUGUUAGAUUUCUAACUUUAUAUCAUUAUCUGGUUAAAGAACAGUUUCAGGCGGGCAGUUUGACUGGGGCGGUCGCCUCCCAAAUGGUAACGGAGGCGCACAAAGGUUUCCUCUGAACGGGUAGAAAUCGUAUCUAGAGUGUAAAGGCAUAAGGAAGCUUGACUGUGAGACCUACAAGUCGAGCAGGGACGAAAGUCGGUCUUAGUGAUCUGACGGUGCUGAGUGGAAAGGCCGUUACUCAACGGAUAAAAGUUACUCUAGGAUAACAGGCUGAUCUCCCCCAAGAGUUCACAUCGACGGGGAGGUUUGGCACCUCGAUGUCGGCUCAUCGCAUCCUGGGGCGGUAGUACGUCCCAAGGGUUGGGCUGUUCGCCCAUGAAAGCGGUACGCGAGCUGGGUUCAGAACGUCGUGAGACAGUUCGGUCCAUAUCCGGUGUAGGCGUUAGAAUAUUGAGAGGAGCCUUCUUUAGUACGAGAGGACCGAGAAGGACAUACCUCUGGUGUACCAGUUAUCGUGCCAACGGUAAACGCUGGGUAGCUAUGUAUGGAGUGAAUAACCGCUGAAAGCAUCUAAGUGGGAAGCCCACCUCAAGAUAAGUAUUCUCAU